rnacentral:hammerhead_ribozyme from 1 species
AUCCAGCUGAUGAGUUCCAAAUAGGACGAAUCGCACAUCUUGGAU